rnacentral:rRNA from 1 species
UACGUAGGGUGCAAGCGUUACUCGGAAUUACUGGGCGUAAAGCGUGCGCAGGCGGUUAUGCAAGACAGAUGUGAAAUCCCCGGGCUCAACCUGGGAACUGCAUUUGUGACUGCAUGGCUAGAGUACGGCAGAGGGGGAUGGAAUUCCACGUGUAGCAGUGAAAUGCGUAGAUAUGUGGAGGAACACCGAUGGCGAAGGCAAUCCCCUGGGCCUGUACUGACGCUCAUGCACGAAAGCGUGGGGAGCAAACAGG